GGAGAGGACGGCCACUGCCCCGGCAGCGGAGGCCCCGGCUUCUGACACACGGGCCGGGGUUCAGAAACGAGCUUUCAACUUCCUCUCCGGCGCACAAGAUACAACAUGCGGUUGUAACAACACCGCAAAGACAGAAAGCAGCUGCAAAACAGUAUCGACUACCAUUACAUCUUGCCACAUGAAGAAACAUGCAAGAGGCAUUCUCAUGGUAAAAAUGCAGUCACCUUUAAAAAUGGCAACUCCUCCUCUGGAUGCAUGCUGGUAUCAAUAAAAUCAGUCAUUCCUGUUUUCUUUACCUUUACAUUUUUACAUACCUCAAGCAAAGUUCAGAUGUUUAUAGAUGGCAAGUACAAGGGUGAGGGGAUGAGCCCACACAAGAAGCAACUUGUUGGUUCAAAUAGAAAGCAAGCAAAUGGUUAGCAGAUUUGGACUGCUCCGUUGCAGAGCAGGGGCCUGGACAAGAUGACAGCAACAGCCUGCUUGAAAGCAGGUUGGGACCAUUACUGGCUUAAGAAAGUGAAUGUGGAAAAGAAUUACAGUUCUCUAGCUUUUUCCCCAAAUG